UCCAGAACUGCAACUUUCACUUCCAAGUCACUCAGUUUGUGACAGAAUGUUUUGUCAAAAUAGCCCUUGCAAAUGAAUGCGGCUACUUCGUUGCAAAGCCAGAAUGCAACCAAAGUCAGCCUGCACUUCAACGGCAGACUAAGAGAUGACGACUUUGGUUACAGCUGUGGCCUUCAGCAAUCCAGAGGCACCUCUAGCUGGGAUAGAAGAUAGAGGAGCUGGAGUAGAAGCGGAUGACUGCUGCAGUCCAGCCCUCACCUAGAAUGUCAACUCAGGCCUUGGCUUGCUACUCAAAAGAUUACCUCCCCCCAGAGGCUAUCACCACCUUCCCAAGAGGCUGCCACUGUGGAAAAGGAGCCUAGAGAAAUGUGCCACAGGUAUGUGGAGGAAGGGGGGAAUGGCAUGAUUAGGUUCAUUAGGAGAAGUUUAGGUUAAGUUGAAACUGAAUAAUCUUUCUAUAGCAACCCCUGGAAUAGGCAAUAGU
rnacentral:lncRNA from 1 species